UACGUAUGGUGCAGGCGUUAUCCGGAUUUACUGGGCGUAAAGGGAGCGCAGGCGGUGCGCCAAGUCUGAUGUGAAACCCCGGGGCUCAACCCCGGGCAUGCAUUGGAAACUGGCGGGCUGGAGUGCCGGAGAGGUAAGCGGAAUUCCUAGUGUAGCGGUGAGAUGCGUAGAUAUUAGGAGGAACACCAGUGGCGAAGGCGGCUUACUGGACGGCAACUGACGCUGAGGCUCGAAAGCGUGGGGAGCAAACAGG
rnacentral:rRNA from 1 species